GUCCCCGGCUGUGCCCACAGAACGGGGCUAGGAUCAAGCCCUUAGCUUUUCAGUAAAAAACAGACUUGGAAAAAUAUACAGGCAGCAGAGCCUGCUGGUCUGAAAGCCCUCUCCCCUACCCAGGGUGACCUGCGCGGCCGCCUCCCAGGCCCUGUGCCCCUGCCGGCCGUGGAGAAGCAGCGCUGCUCGCGGCUCUGGCAGCCUGACAGCUCCGCUGGCAUCCUCACUGCACAACAGCUCCGGAGGCCCCUGCUCCCACCCUGGCUGCUCGUGGCCCCAGAGCAGGCCUGGGGUCGCAGGCAGGGAUGGGACGUAGUAUUGGCAGAAGAACAUCUGUGUGGUCAGCAGAGGGGACUCCGGCUGGCCGGGGCCACUCCCACACACAGGCAGCAAACCUGGGAGGUUCCCAGGACACGGCCCCUCCGAGAGACCGUUCACGACCGCCCCCACUUGGCACAACUCCAGGCUUCGCGAGAAGCCCCUCGGGGCCCGUGGGCCAAUGGCACAAGUCCUGUGGGAGGGCAGCUGGGCCCGACCUCCCAACUCCCAGUCCCCCCACGAUAUGCUACAUAUAUACACCCCUGCGCGCAGCGUGUGGAGGAGGUGUGGAGAGCCGCUGGCCCCUGCAGACCGCCUCUCCUCCCAGAAGUCAGCGCUGGUCAGAUGUGUGCGAGGGUGGGGCUGCUGCUCGCCCCCUCCCAGGGCAGGGGUGCGUGCUGAGAGGGCUGUUUGCAGGCACAAGGAAGGCGUUAGUGGGCAGGCUCCCCGUGCACCCUGAAGCGGUAGAUGCAGGUGUACUCGGUGGGGCCCCAGCAUGGAGGGAGGUUUUGAGGAUUUGUGUGUCCAGGUGGAGGCCUUGA
rnacentral:lncRNA from 1 species